rnacentral:rRNA from 1 species
GUCCUGGCCCUCCUAUCAGUUUUCUCUUGAAUUACACAUGCAAGUCUCAGCACCCCCGUGAGGACACCCUUAUUCCCUUAACCAGGCUAAGGAGCUGGUAUCAGGCACAGCAUCUGCCCACAACACCUAGUCUUACCACACCCCCAAGGGUAUUCAGCAGUGAUAAAUAUUGUUUAUAAGCGAUAGCUUGACUCAGUUAAAGAAAAUAGAGCCGGCCAACUCGGUGCCAGCCGCCGCGGCUAAACCGCAUGGGCUCAAAUUGAUAACAAUCGGCGUUAAGCGUGAUUAAAGUUCCCAACAAUUAGAAUGAAAUCCAUACUUAGCUGUGAAAAGCUUGAUGUGAGAGAAGGUCAAAAACGAAAGUUAUUCUAAUCAUUUACUUGAAUACACGACAGCUAGAAAACAAACUGGGAUUAGAUACCCCACUAUCCA